UGGAAACUGAGGGAUCCAACUCAAUUUAGGGCAAUUAUGACAAAUGAACUGGGAAAGAAACGUAAAUUGGGCUAGCUUAGCUGUUGAAUCAUCCCUCUUCUUCUGCCAUCCCAUUAGCUUCGGACAAUACUUUAUAAUGAGAUACUUCAGAGAUGGAAAGAAUGAUGUUCCUUGUCCCUCAAUUUCAAUGUAUUCUAAAUCAUCUAGACCACCAAUCUCUAGCUUUCGAAGAGAACAGAUUUGAUCCAUUGCUGGAAGAUGCUUACAACUGCUACAACGCACUAACAGGAUAUGGACAAGAUUUGUGAGGGAAGAAAGCCAACUUGGGAAACUCCUGCCUCCAUACUGAUACACCUUUAACUCUUUAAGAUUAGAAUUUGGUCGGAGAUUUUGCAGUGCCAUUUCUUCACUAUCACCAUUUACAUCACCCCUUGCAUCACCAUAUCGACUCGAUACUAGAACCAAUGAUUGAAGAAGCAGCUUCUCCAAAUUAGGAUUUACUUUCCCAUUUUUCACAAAUCCCAAAUUUCUAAUUUGGAGACUUCCGUUCAAAUUGUAGAGGCUAUUCAGUUCAUCUAAUCCUCCAACAUUCUUUGAGAUUGAACUAUCUUUUGCCACUACAAAUCAUGUCAGUGUCUGGAAUGAAGUCAGUUGCCCAAGCCCACGUGGCAUAUGAGUCAAAGAGUAACAAUUAUGACAAUAUAAAUGCCUAAGAUUACUCAAAUUUUUAAUAUCUUCAGGCAACUCCUUGAGAUAUUGACAGCCAGAGACAUUUAGCACUUGCAAAUUCUGUAGGUUUGUAAUAGAAUUUGAAAGUGCUUUGAUUUCUGAAUUUUUUGAAACAUCAAGAUAUCUCAAAU
rnacentral:misc_RNA from 1 species